GUCUCUGUGGCGCAAUCGGUUAGUUAGCGCGUUCGGCUGUUAACCGAAAGGUUGGUGGUUCGAGCCCACCCAGGGACG